rnacentral:lncRNA from 1 species
GUAAAUGUUUGAAUUUUCUCUGUUGAUUUGUAAUUGAGACAAAUGGAUUGAGAUGUCUGUUCACAUUAUUUUUAAAAAGUGAUGGGCUCCCAUAUUGGCAGAGGCAUUGAGGCACUCAGCAGGGUCAACUGGGACAGUGCUUCUGAGCAAAGUAUAUUGAAGUCAGAGUGAGAGUUUUGGAUUCAUUGAAUUUCAGACAAAUGGUUAUAUGCCUAAGAAAGGCGUUGGCCCAUUUCUUGGGUAAAUCACUGGGGAGGCUUGAAAGCACAGAGGUGGAGACUUAAGACAAUGCACUCUGUAGCCAUGCUCUCUGGAUUUGAAUCCCAGAUUUGCCUCUUAGUAACCCUAUGACCUUGCCUGCUAGCAGAGAUGAAUAAGGCUGAAGAAGCAAGUCCCUGGAGAGAAAGGAAGAGAUGAGAGAGACCCCCAAGUUGUGUGAUCACCUCCAGCACACUGGAGACUGAGCCGUUUCACAAGAUCAUUCAUUCUAGGAGAGACCUUGGGAGGAGAAGUCAUGAGGACAGUCAACCAGCUCUUUGAAGAAGUCCACAUGCUGAGAAACUGAGGCCUCCUGCCAACAGCCUUGUGAGUGAAUCAUCUUGGAGGUGGAUCCUCCAGCACCUGUAAAACCUUCAGAUGACCACAGAUCUGGCUGACAUUUUGACCUCAAUGUUAUGAAAAAUCUUGAGGCAGAAGCACCCAGCUAAGCCAAUCCUGUAUUCUUCACCUACAGAAACUAUGAGGUACUAACACAUGCUUAUUGUUUCAAACUGCCAAGUUUUAGAGUAAUUUCUUAUGCAACAAUAGAUAACUAAUAAAACAAUGUUAACAAUAACCUGAUGUACACCCAUGAAAUAUGAUAUCCAGACAAAAUUAGAAAGUGUUUAUGUAUGCACUGCAUUGUUAUGUUUCUUUAUAGAACAAAAAGAAUCCUAUGUUUUUCGGAUCCUUUUCUCAAGUCAGUGCCAGUGAUGCAGGGCCCAUGAGCCCGGAAAUUGGGGCUCAGCCUGGGAGGGUUCUUGGCUCCACCCGGGAAAGUAUUCAAGGGUGGACCAGUGGUGCCAGAUAGCAACUUUUAUUGAAGAGGCCGUGUAUGGCAGCAGCAGAGGCACUGGUCCUUGUGGAGCAGAGAUACUCCAUAGGCAGUGUGCCCAGAGUAGCAGCUCAGAGGCAGUUCUUCAGUCAUAUUUAUACCCACUUUUAAUUACAUGCAAAUUAAGAGGUGAGUUAUUCAGAAAUUUCUAGAAAAGGGGUGGUAACUUCCAGGUCAUUGACAUGGAAAGUGGGGGGUAACUUCUGCAUAUUGCCAUGGCAGUGGUAAACUGACAUGGCACUGGUGGGCAUGUCUUAUGGAAAGGUGCUUUUGCCUCUUCUUU